rnacentral:rRNA from 1 species
UACGGAGGGUGCUAGCGUUGUUCGGAAUCACUGGGCGUAAAGCGCGUGUAGGCGGCCUGUUAAGUCUGAUGUGAAAAGCCCCGGGGCUCACCCCCCGGAAGUGCAUUGGAAACUGCCAGGCUCGAGUCCCGGAGAGGAGGGUGGAAUUCCUGGUGUAGCGGUGAAAUGCGUAGAUAUCAGGAGGAACACCGGUGGCGAAGGCGGCCCUCUGGACGGUGACUGACGCUGAGACGCGAAAGCGUGGGGAGCAAACAGG